rnacentral:rRNA from 1 species
AACGAACGCUGGCGGCAUGCCUAACACAUGCAAGUCGAACGAGACCUUCGGGUCUAGUGGCGCACGGGUGUGUAACGCGUGGGAACCUGCCUUUAGGUUCGGAAUAACUCAGAGAAAUUUGAGCUAAUACCGGAUGAUGUCUUCGGACCAAAGAUUUAUCGCCUUUAGAUGGGCCCGCGUUGGAUUAGCUAGUUGGUGGGGUAAAGGCCUACCAAGGCGACGAUCCAUAGCUGGUCUGAGAGGAUGAUCAGCCACACUGGGACUGAGACACGGCCCAGACUCCUACGGGAAGCAGCAGUGGGGAAUAUUGGACAAUGGGCGAAAGCCUGAUCCAGCAAUGCCGCGUGAGUGAUGAAGGCCUUAGGGUUGUAAAGCUCUUUUACCCGAGAUGAUAAUGACAGUAUCGGGAGAAUAAGCUCCGGCUAACUCCGUG